CCUACGGGGGGCUGCAGUGGGGAAUAUUGGACAAUGGGGGCAAUCCUGAUCCAGCCAUGCCGCGUGUGUGAAGAAGGCCCUCGGGUUGUAAAGCACUUUCAGUGAGGAAGAACGCCUGGUGGUUAAUACCCAUCAGGAAAGACAUCACUCACAGAAGAAGCACCGGCUAACUCCGUGCCAGCAGCCGCGGUAAUACGGAGGGUGCGAGCGUUAAUCGGAAUUACUGGGCGUAAAGCGCGCGUAGGUGGCUUGAUAAGCCGGUUGUGAAAGCCCCGGGCUCAACCUGGGAACGGCAUCCGGAACUGUCAAGCUAGAGUGCAGGAGAGGAAGGUAGAAUUCCCGGUGUAGCGGUGAAAUGCGUAGAGAUCGGGAGGAAUACCAGUGGCGAAGGCGGCCUUCUGGACUGACACUGACACUGAGGUGCGAAAGCGUGGGUAGCAAACAGGAUUAGAUACCCUAGUAGUC
rnacentral:rRNA from 1 species